rnacentral:rRNA from 1 species
AAAGCCUGAUCCAGCCAUGCCGCGUGUGUGAAGAAGGUCUUCGGAUUGUAAAGCACUUUAAGUUGGGAGGAAGGGUUUCUGGCUAAUAUCCAGGAAUUUUGACGUUACCGACAGAAUAAGCACCGGCUAACUUCGUGCGAGCAGCCGCGGUAAUACGAAGGGGGCUAGCGUUGCUCGGAAUUACUGGGCGUAAAGGGCGCGUAGGCGGAUCGUUAAGUCAGAGGUGAAAUCACAGGGCUCAACCCUGGAACUGCCGUUGAUACUGGCGAUCUUGAGUAUGAGAGAGGUAUGUGGAACUCAGGGUGUAGAGGUGAAAUUCGUAGAUAUUCGGAAGAACACCAUUGGCGAAGGCGACAUACUGGCUCAUUACUGACGCUGAGGCGCGAAAGCGUGGGGAGCAAACA